UCUGGCAGAUCUCGGUGAGAACUGAGUAUUCAUAUUUUAUUUUCUUUUCUCUCUCCAAAUGGUUAUCACAACUGGGCACAAAUCAAUACGGUUCUUAGCAGGAAAAGUGACUGGGAAUUAAAAUAACUCGUUCCCCAGGGGUUAUCAGCUGGAUAUCAGUCCACAUCAGUUUGUACAGAGAGAGACUCAUCUGGCGCGAACUGUGUGAAGUCUGUCUCGCUCCCUCAGCUAACAAACAUCAUUUCUUCAGAUGGACGUGACCCAAAGACUGGGGACAGAGAAUUUAACUGGGGUUGUGCUUGUGCCCAGAGCCGGUUUUUCUCCUGUCUUUGACAACCCUGAUCUUCUCUGGGUUUGAUUUAUUGAGUGCUGUCGUUUCUCUGCUCUUUACUUUCACAAUCACACAUUCAAACCCGAUAAAGUUCAAGACCCUGAAUGCUUCCAGCUCUCCCAGAUUUACAGUCUUACUGCCUCCCAGAGCAGCUCUGAAGCUGAUUGAAUCCUCAUGCAUACAAGAAGUUGGCAAGAAUCAUCAAAAAAGCCAGAAGAGACCAGAGAUGGUGCUUCCCAUGUGAAACAUUACCACCCCAUGUCUAUUCUAUUAUUCAAAGAAAAUCUUACAGCAUUUUUCCCCAGAAAAUGACUGUUACCAUCCUACCCUGUAUCAGUUUCAACAUUUAAUGCAGUCCGCUACCCAAGUGUUAAUAGCUAACUACCUGUGGGCCUGUUGUUACAGUUACAACAGGUUAAUGUUAAGGUGGCCCUGAUGACUGCUGCCAGAAAGAUGGAAAAAGAUGCUCGACUAUCAAGAGUUCUGAGUUAUGUUCCUAGAUUGAACUAAAUGGCCUUGUGAUCUAGGACAAAGCAUUUAACUCCAUUCUGCCUCAGUUACUUCAAAUGAUAGAAAUAUUAACUUGUACAAACAUUGAUGCUGAAUGAAUUAUGUUUGGCAGUUUAUACUGACAUAUUCAUGGAGGGCUGGGUAAGACUAAAUCUGGACUUGUGAUUUUAUCAGUGUGAAGAAUUUCUAGUGUGGAAAUUCCCUCCACAGAUACAGAUCUCAACUCUCCUGAGACAGGAAGCAUGGCAUCAUGAAUAAAGUGCUGGGCUUGGAAUUGGGAAGAUCUGGGCUAGAAUUCUGCCCAAGUCACUUAA